CCUACGGGUGGCUGCAGUGGGGAAUAUUGGACAAUGGGCGAAAGCCUGAUCCAGCCAUGCCGCGUGUGUGAAGAAGGCCUUCGGGUUGUAAAGCACUUUCAGUGGGGAAGAAAGCCUUGGGGCUAAUACCCUCGAGGAAGGACAUCACCCACAGAAGAAGCACCGGCUAACUCCGUGCCAGCAGCCGCGGUAAUACGGAGGGUGCGAGCGUUAAUCGGAAUUACUGGGCGUAAAGCGCGCGUAGGCGGUCUGAUAAGCCGGUUGUGAAAGCCCCGGGCUCAACCUGGGAACGGCAUCCGGAACUGUCAGGCUAGAGUGCAGGAGAGGAAGGUAGAAUUCCCGGUGUAGCGGUGAAAUGCGUAGAGAUCGGGAGGAAUACCAGUGGCGAAGGCGGCCUUCUGGACUGACAUUGACGCUGAGGUGCGAAAGCGUGGGUAGCAAACAGGAUUAGAUACCCUUGUAGUC
rnacentral:rRNA from 1 species